AGUAUUUAUAUAUCCGGAGAAAGUUCUCUAGUAAAUUCUGGAGAUCUUCGGUAUUUAAAUGUCAACAUCGAUUUGUUUAUUUAUUGCUUAGCUUAUCAUAACUGACUCAAUAACAAAUCUAAUCAUGUUGUGCACUGAGAAAAUAUUCUCAUUAUGUAUUUU
rfam:Tauraco erythrolophus contig14714, whole genome shotgun sequence.